UUUUAUGGAGAGUUUGAUCCUGGCUCAGGAUGAACGCUGGCGGCGUGCCUAAUACAUGCAAGUCGAGCGAACGGACGAGAAGCUUGCUUCUCUGAUGUUAGCGGCGGACGGGUGAGUAACACGUGGAUAACCUACCUAUAAGACUGGGAUAACUUCGGGAAACCGGAGCUAAUACCGGAUAAUAUUUUGAACCGCAUGGUUCAAAAGUGAAAGACGGUCUUGCUGUCACUUAUAGAUGGAUCCGCGCUGCAUUAGCUAGUUGGUAAGGUAACGGCUUACCAAGGCAACGAUGCAU
rnacentral:rRNA from 1 species